UGGGGAAUUUUGCACAAUGGGGGAAACCCUGAUGCAGCGACGCUGCGUGAUUUAGAAGGCCUUCGGGUUGUAAAAAUCUUUUCUAUGGGAAGAAAAUGACAGUACCAUAGGAAUAAGGACCGGCUAAUUACGUGCCAGCAGCCGCGGUAAUACGUAAGGUCCGAGCGUUGUCCGGAAUCAUUGGGCGUAAAGGGUACGUAGGCGGGUAAGCAAGUUAGAAGUGAAAUCCUGUAGCUCAACUACAGUAAGCUUUUAAAACUGCUCAUCUUGAGGUAUGGAAGGGAAAGUGGAAUUCCUAGUGUAGCGGUGAAAUGCGCAGAUAGUAGGAGGAAUACCGGUGGCGAAGGCGACUUUCUGGCCAUAAUCUGACGCUGAGGUACGAAAGCGUGGGUAGCAAACAGG
rnacentral:rRNA from 1 species